UACGUAGGGGGCAAGCGUUGUCCGGAAUCAUUGGGCGUAAAGAGCGUGUAGGCGGCCAGAAAAGUCCGCUGUGAAAACUCGAGGCUCAACUUCGAGCUGUCGGUGGAAACUUUCUGGCUAGAGUCCGGAAGAGGAGAAUGGAAUUCCUGGUGUAGCGGUGAAAUGCGCAGAUAUCAGGAAGAACACCCCGUGGCGAAGGCGGUUCUCUGGGACGGUACUGACGCUGGAGACGCGAAAAGCGUGGGGAGCGAACAGG
rnacentral:rRNA from 1 species